rnacentral:pre_miRNA from 1 species
AUCACCUAGGGCUCUUGUUAAAAGGCAGAUCUAUAUUCAGUAGGUCUUGGGUGAAGUCUAAGGUUCUGCAUUUUCAAACAAGCUCCCAGGUGAUUUUGA